GAGCAUCCGUACCAAGUAAGCCCCAUCAUGUAUCUGACUUUGGUUAGAUAGGAAGCUGAGCAUCCGUACCAGUCCUUUAUCAUUCAUUUAACAAGUGGGAUGAGUGGCGGGCGCUAAGCUACAUCGAAGUUGUGACAAUCCAUUUCCCCUUUAUUUCAAGUUUAAAGAAGCUCCGAACUUCAAACAAGCAAACGGUGACAACGCGGUCAACUUCUCUCUAGGUAAGACAGGGAGUAAUUUCCCAACACGGCAGGAAACUGUUGAUCACAUGGUCUUUGAACCGCAAGAGACUUUAUGAGUGGAACGCCAGAUAUUGAAGGGAGGAAAAGGAAAGAGGACAUGAGGAGGAAAGAGAAGGCAGACAAAUUAAACGCAGGGACGCGAGACGGUCUGUCCUCGAGAGGGAUGAAGCCAUAAUUGGCGUCCUCGAGAGACUGAUUCGUGUGAUAGAGGUGAGCAACGACAAGCUGACGGAGAUCGGGCGGAGGGCGGGUGAUAUCAAGACCGUUGCCCAGUUCCUCCAGGUCGACCCACAGAUUUCCGACGCCCAUAAGGAGGAAAUCUUGAGGAAGUGCCUGGAAAGCCGUGAAGUCUUAAAUGACAUGGUGGUUUUGGCGAAGGACCUGAAGGACACAGAUGGGCUUCCGAAGAAUAAUCUUAUUCCCAGUUCUCCUCCAUGCCUCGGUGUGAUACAGGAUUCCCCGGUAGGGAGUCAGGACAGCGUCACAGUUUGGAUACCCUAGGUCUCCGAGGUAGUAACAACCUGCAGGGCAUGUGAGACCGAAGUGCAACUUGGCCUCACGGAAAACUCGUGAGUCAUGCACCGAGCCACUGAAGCCCGGCAGGAGGUAAACGAACUUGAAAUUAAAAUCGCAAAUGGCGAGGAAGUUGGUGGUUACCACGCCCUUCCGAUUACAAUUUUCAUCUGCAAGGAGGGCAGGGACUUUAAUAGGAAUAUGAGUACCAUCAAUGUCUCCCACUGCUCCCUCGAACCUCGGGUAUCGCUCUUGGAUCAGUGGAUGGACUGGAGUGUCCGAAGUUGGCAUUUUAACCCAUUGGUCGUAUAAUCCAGGGAUAGUCAAUCCUGUGACCACUGUGUGGAGAACCCUACUAUCUCACUCAGCUUACCUUCGUUAUUCGCAUACAGCUGAUUGUAGGUACGGAAUGAGCUGAAGAAUCGCUUACCCUGAUACCGUGUCCUGGGAUUUUGAGAACUCCUGAGCAGUGUCCCUGUUGCUUUUCCUUCCUCGUAAAAUAAAAAGCCACAGAGCCAGCCUUCCAUCUGAAGAUACGCCACCAGACUCGAGCUGCACACCUUGCUAAUGGGAUGGUUCUUUAAGAAGAGGAACUCAUCGGGCCAAAUACUCAACUGAUCAAGCAUACAUUCGUCUCGGAGUCAUUAUAAAGCCACGCAUCUAUCCCCGUUUGACCUGUCCAAAGUCCGUUAUGCAAAGGGAAAGGCCAAGGCUGUACCUGGCCGUCGAGUAUACGCGUCGGUUGCUAUGGUAGCCAUAAUAGCAGAGAUUUAUUUGAAUUCCUGCGCUUUUACCACCCCUUCUACUUCCUCUUCAUGUUCUUCAUCGGUGGAAGGGGGGAGAGGGUCAUUAUUGAUAUCGCUGUGCCGUCAAUCCAUAGUUAUUAAAUGUUGGAAGCUAUCUGUGGCAGUUAAAGUGGUGUUAGGAGAGCUCGGUUUCGACGUUGAAAUGUUAUAGCCUGGGUGAUUUGAGACGACUAAUGGGUUUGGACGAUGCAUUCCAUGGGAUUAG
rnacentral:sRNA from 1 species